UACAGGGGGGUGCAAACGUUGCUCGGAAUCAUUGGGCGUAAAGCGCACGUAGGCGGUUCGUUAUGUCGGAUGUGAAAGCCCUUGGCUUAACCGAGGAAGUGCAUCCGAAACUGGCGAGCUAGAGUACGAAAGAGGAUCGCGGAAUUCCCGGUGUAGAGGUGAAAUUCGUAGAUAUCGGGAGGAACACCAGUGGCGAAGGCGGUUGCCUGGGGCUUUGCUGACGCUGAUUGCGCGAAAGCGUGGGGAGCGAUCCGG
rnacentral:rRNA from 1 species